AGGGGUGUAGCUCAGUUGGUAGAGCGACGGUCUCCAAAACCGUAGGUCCACAGUUCGAGCCUGUGCACCCCUGCCA
rnacentral:tRNA from 6 species